rnacentral:lncRNA from 1 species
CACUUUCAAGAUCUUUGUGUGGUAAAAAUCUUUCACAUUUUUUAUCAUGUUUUACAGGGGAUCUACUCAGUUCAUUCGAGUUCAGCACUGAAAUGUGUAUACUAAACUAGGAUCUUGUGGUCCUGGAACACAGCAGCUGCUCUCCCUCUUCUGUUUUUGAGAAUCCACUACAGCAUCUUCUUUCAUUUUCCUGAACAAGUGCAAUGAUGGUAGAUCUCAUUGGAUGCAAAGAAAAGAGGAGCAAGAGACAAUUUUUGUCUGAGGAAAUUACUCCAGUAUUUGAAAUCAUGAACACCAAUAAGGUAGGGAAGCUUGCUUAUAUUAUGGUUAAAGGCUCAAGCAUAGAAGUCAUUUUCUAGUUAUCUUACUCUGCUUUCCACUGCUCCAUAUUUGUCAAAAGGAUGUUUUGUGGUGUAAGUUACUCUAUGAUAUGUAGAAGAAUGUAGGGAUUAAAGCGAAUUGUGAUCAUUUAACAAUAAUUACUGACAAGACAAAUUAACAAGGCCUAGCAUGUGGCUAUAUUUAGAAGCUGAAGUUGAUACAAUGCUGUUGCUUAUUGGGGCACAAGGGCACCAUUGGGGAAAUACGGGUUCUGUUCCCACUUUGGGCUGAUUGGUGAUUAUGGGGAUGUCACUACUCAGUUUUCCAACUUGAUGAAUGAGAAAUGGUAGUUAUCUCCCUUGUACAUUGAGAGUCAAUGAGAAAAUCAAAGUAAUCACUAGAUAUCAUUAAAGAAAGGAAACGUUUUCAGGAUCCAUAAUAAAUCCAAUACAAAAUGCUACUGUUGACA